GUGGGGAAUCUUGCACAAUGGGCGAAAGCCUGACGCAGCAACGCCGCGUGCGGGAUGAAGGCCUUCGGGCUGUAAACCGCUUUCAGCAGGAACGAAAAUGACGGUACCUGCAGAAGAAGGAGCGGCCAACUACGUGCCAGCAGCCGCGGUGACACGUAGGCUCCAAGCGUUGUCCGGAUUUAUUGGGCGUAAAGAGCUCGUAGGCGGUUUAGUAAGUCGGGUGUUAAAACUCUGGGCUCAACCCGGAGAGGCCAUCCGAUACUGCUGUGACUUGAGUUCAGGAGGGGAGCGGGGAAUUCCUAGUGUAGCGGUGAAAUGCGCAGAUAUUAGGAGGAACACCGGUGGCGAAGGCGCCGCUCUGGACUGAAACUGACGCUGAGGAGCGAAAGCAUGGGUAGCAAA
rnacentral:rRNA from 1 species